rnacentral:lncRNA from 1 species
GCUCUGCCGGGCGCCACAAGAGUGAGGCCGGCUUUGAGCAGCCUGCCAAGGGGGGCGAAGCCCUCGCUUUGAAAAUGCUCCUGCAGUUUGGGACUUGGCAGUCCUGGGGAACAGCGGGGGACGGGGAAGAAAGCCCCCGCCUGGGCCUCCCCAGCAGGCACCCUCUGCUCUUUUCAUCUCACUGGGGCCCCGUGUGACACCCGAGAAGGAGCUGGUUGUCACGGCUCCUCCCCACAAGCCUCCCCGACUGCUAAACCGUGGCUGAGAAAAGGACAGCAGCUUUGCAGUCACCCAGAAAGCCCCCCGAGGCUGCUGCUCUGUCCUUGUGGGCUCUCCCCCGGGAGCCUACCUGGCCCAAUGUGCCAUGUUUGCAGGACAGGCAGAAGCUGGGCAGGCAAGAACCAGGAUCAGUAGGAGCCAUCAGUCCAAAGGGACAGUAGUAAAAAUCCACUGACCACAGGAGGCUGCUCUCCUUUGCUCUGGGGCCGCAAGAAGGCCCCGUGACUCAGCACAAAAAGUACCCACCACAGCAGCCCAGGUCGUAUUUGGUUCUGGAUCGAGUACAAUUUCUUGGUUGUCACCUCAUUUUUCCCUCUGUUAAACAGGCCUACGAGCCGUGGGCCCACGAGAGUUGCUCAAUAAGCCCUAUUGUUCCAUCAGUUGACAAACUGCAAAUCCAAGUCCUAAAUACUCCAUCCACUGACCACCGGUGAUGGGUGAAUAGUGACAGCAAGACUUCAAGGACGGCCACCUCGCCCAUCUGUUUAUUUUUCCUGCCUGAGUCGAAAAUGGCUUCCAGGCCCUGGCCUCGCCGUGGUCAUGCCUCUUCUGUGGCCAGAGAGGUGUGGAGCCCAGUGCUAUUCCAGGUCAUUUGCAGGAGGGAGGGCCCGGCCAGCACAAAGGGCCGUUGUGGACAUGCGGGCACCCAGAGGCAAGGAUCAGGGCAGGACUCCCACGGAGCAGGCAACCCAGGGCUUCCCUUGCUGAGAUUUUCAGAGCAAAACGAAAGUGUGGUCAGUAUCAAGGCAGAAGCAGGAGUCUUCACCUUUCCAUGGACGAGAAGAAGGGGUGGUGAGAAGGCAGACACUCACCCUGGACAGACAGGUGAGGAGAGGGAUGCUACGUGGCCAAGCCAGUGGGGACCCCGCACCCCUUUCUGCUGGGCCAUGGCUGCAGGGAGAGGAGCCCCAGCCCCCUCCACCUCUCUGGGCCUGCUUGUCACAGCUCUCUUGCUGGACAGGGAACCAUCAAGGUCAAAACGGAAGUUUUUCCCAGGUGCAGGAAGGAAGAGGAAAGCAUCUUCUUAAGUAGUAAACAAUGUUGCCUCAUUUAGCUCCAUUUUUUUUUUUCUUCUGAAUGCCUUUGAAGUGGCACUUUCUAGGGAAACCCUGCAC